rnacentral:rRNA from 1 species
GCAUGCCUACAACAUAGCAUUAGUGCAUCGAAUCCCAUUAGAAAUCCGCAGUUAAGCAUGCUCGAGCUAGAGUAGUAAUGGGAUGGGUGACUGCCCGAGAAGUCCUAGUAUUUUACAUGCC